CACCCCUGCAGAACACAGUCUGCAACAUCUGUGCUUCCCAGCAGCUGAGCUGUAAAACACUCUUCCCCGCUCUUCACAGAACAACUGUCACAUGGACCAGCACCCAUGCUAAGGGCAAAACUUACAAAACGCUACAAAAGAUAAGCUGCAUUAUGACCAAGUCACAGAUGUUGAGUUUUUUCAUGAGAGAGGACCGAAGAGAACCGGGUUUAGGAUGUACCAGUUCUGGUGCAGUGUGGAUGGGAGGUUUUUGUCAGCGAGGAAUGGGAUCUGAAGCUGACUGCUUAUGGCUUGUGAGACGACAAGACGGACAGGCGAGGCACCCCUGAACCCUUGGAAUUCACUUAUCCUCUCAUCCUAACCGAGGGCCCUGAAUUGCCUGGCCUCUGGAGAAUGCCCCAAAGAUGUUGGUGAAAUGGAUUCUGCAGUUCCGGAUGGAAGAGGGAAAUUCAGAAGCAGG